rnacentral:rRNA from 1 species
AGAGUUUGAUCAUGGCUCAGAAUGAACGCUGGCGGCAGGCCUAACACAUGCAAGUCGAACGGAUCCUUCGGGAUUAGUGGCGGACGGGUGAGUAACGCGUGGGAACAUACCCUUUGGUACGGAAUAGCCUCGGGAAACUGGGAGUAAUACCGUAUGUGCCCCCCCAAUCAAAUUCCAUUUGAUUGAAUUAUCGAUCUUAUCAAAUUCCAGAUGGAAUUUGAUGGGGGGGGAAAGAUUUAUCGCCAAAGGAUUGGCCCGCGUUGGAUUAGGUAGUUGGUGGGGUAAUGGCCUACCAAGCCGACGAUCCAUAGCUGGUUUGAGAGGAUGAUCAGCCACACUGGGACUGAGACACGGCCCAGACUCCUACGGGAGGCAGCAGUGGGGAAUCUUAGACAAUGGGGGAAACCCUGAUCUAGCCAUGCCGCGUGAUCGAUGAAGGCCUUAGGGUUGUAAAGAUCUUUCAGAUGGGAAGAUAAUGACGGUACCAUCAGAA